rnacentral:snRNA from 1 species
AGGUUUGCACAGUGGCAGUAUCGUAGCCAAUGAGGUUUAUCCAAGGCACUAUUAUUGCUGAUUGAAAACUUUUCCCAAUACCCUGCCAUGACGACUUGAAGUAUAGUCAGCAUUGAGAAUUUUUGACAAUCUCUACGGAGA